rnacentral:tRNA from 4 species
GGACCUUUAGCUCAGUUGGUUAGAGCAGACGGCUCAUAACCGUCCGGUCGUAGGUUGAGCAUGUGGUUUAAUUCGAAGCAACGCGAAGAACCUUACCAGGUCUG